rnacentral:tRNA from 1 species
GAGGGUAUAGCUCAAGGCGUAGAGUGCAUGCUUAGCAUACACGAGGUCCUGGGUUCAAUACCCAGUACCUCCA